AGUCCUACGGGCGGCUGCAGUGGGGAAUAUUGGACAAUGGGCGCAAGCCUGAUCCAGCCAUGCCGCGUGAGUGAUGAAGGUCUUAGGAUUGUAAAGCUCUUUCACCGGAGAAGAUAAUGACGGUAGUCGGAGAAGAAGCCCCGGCUAACUUCGUGCCAGCAGCCGCGGUAAUACGAAGGGGGCUAGCGUUGUUCGGAAUUACUGGGCGUAAAGCGCACGUAGGCGGAUAUUUAAGUCAGGGGUGAAAUCCCAGAGCUCAACUCUGGAACUGCCUUUGAUACUGGGUAUCUCGAGUAUGGAAGAGGUGAGUGGAAUUCCGAGUGUAGAGGUGAAAUUCGUAGAUAUUCGGAGGAACACCAGUGGCGAAGGCGGCUCACUGGUCCAUUACUGACGCUGAGGUGCGAAAGCGUGGGGAGCAAACAGGAUUAGAUACCCUUGUAGUC
rnacentral:rRNA from 1 species